GCAGCGCCGGGCAGCCAAUUCGGAAGGAGAGGGGACAGCUGCAGCGGUGCUUACUACCAAUGACAUAGCGCUGCUGCAGCUCCAGUCCCCCUCCCUCCUCCUCCUUCUCACCUGCCUGCACCGAGGGAGAUGCCAGCACGAGGAGCCUGUCAGCAGGGAGAAGGUUAUGGAGCUGUGGUCUGACCUCCUCCUGCUGUGAUGAUCUCCGCUCUGUUCUUACUACAAACCGCUCUCUGACCAGACUGGAGCUGAUAGGGAAUGUUCUGGGGGACUCUGGAAUAAAACUUCGGGAGUGUGUGAGGCCGCCUCUGCAGCUUCUGGUCCUUUGAUGACUCUUCUCUGGACUGAAUCUGGAUAACAUUGCCAAACAGGAGCCGAAUGACAGAAAAUGACCUGUAUGAUGCUUGGAGGCAGCACAUCUACUGGAGAAGACAACAUAGUCUAACCUCCCAAUACAUCACUGCCGUAACUGAUGUGCUGAUAUGUAAUACUUACUGACCAGUGGUCAUAUUGCAGAAUUUUACUGCAGUAUCAUAAUAUUAGCCAUAAAAUAACCAGGCCAUGCCCGAUACUAAUAAUGUGUGAGGCCAUGUCACUUUGCCAGCUACCUAUUACUAGAGAUGACUGGGCUCCUUCUCUUGGAAACUAAACCCACUCGUACUUAAUGUUUCUGAGUUGUGACAAGUCAAUGCUCGGCUCUUUUAGGCCCUACACACUGGCCGAUUUUUAGAAAGAUAUGAACGAUCUCGUUCAUAAAUGAACGAGAACUCGUUCAUAUCUUUCAGUGUGGAGACCUAAGCGAUGAACGAUGCGCGUCCCCGCGCUCGUUCAUCGCUGGUCUCCAGUCGGCUGUGCAUGCAGGCCAAUAUGGACGAUCUCGUCCAUAUUUGCCUGCACUUCAAUGCAGCUGCGUGACGGGGGGAGUGAAGAAACUUCACUCCCCCCGUCACUGCCCCCCCACCGCCGGGUCGCUCGUCGGCCGUAUCCGCCGUCGGGCAGCUCGGCGGCGGGUCGGCCAGUGAGUAGGGCCCUUUUCUCCUGGGUUUGGAUCUCAAAACAAGGCAAUACAUAAUCUGCCGGCACAGGAUCUCACAUGUUUUGGAUUGUAAAUAAAAGUCCCUCCCUUGUGUUCGGCCACAGAGGCGGACUAGUCAUUCUUGUGCUGGAGCAAUGUGUUGCUGUUCUAGUAAAGCCGAAGCACUGUCUGUGUCAUUUAAAAUAUGCCAUUAGAAGCAUAAUAUUUUUUUGGGGGAAAUCUUGCAUAUAUUCUGGUUCUGGCACUGGGGGUAAUUCAGAGAUGAUCGCAGCAGCAAAUUUGUUAGCAGUUGGGCAAAACC